UCACACUCCCGGUUUUCUGUAUCUGCCUCAGCACCCAUCACCUUGUUUAUUAACACAGACCCACACCUGCUGUAUCAGUUGAACUGGGGGAGCAAAUGUGGAAGAAGGUGCCAAAUCACAGGAGCAGCUGGCUUCACCACUUCCUACCUCGACAGAACAAGAGUUCCUCCUUAUGCACAAUGGAAGCCGUCACUCACCAAGACAUAACAGCAGCUACACGUACUGAUUUUAUUUUUAAGUAAUCUCUACACCUGAUAUGGGGCUCGAAUUUACAACCUUAAGAGUUGCAUGCUCUACAGACUGGGA
rnacentral:lncRNA from 12 species